rnacentral:rRNA from 1 species
ACAGUCCCGGCUUCGGCCCACCGGCUCCGGCUGGUCAGUGACUGUCGAAGAUACCAAAACUCUGUUGUUAAUAUUGUCUGAGUACUAUAUAAUAGUUAAAACUUUCAACAACGGAUCUCUUGGUUCUGGCAUCGAUGAAGAACGCAGCGAAAUGCGAUAAGUAAUGUGACAUGCAGAAUUCAGUGAAUCAUCGAAUCUUUGAACGCACAUUGCGCCCUCUGGUAUUCCGGGGGGCAUGCCUGUUCGAGCGUCAUUACAACCCUCAAGCUCUGCUUGGUAUUGGGCACUGCAGGUUUCUGCAGGCCUUAAAAUCAGUGGCGGUGCCAUUCGGCUUCAAGCGUAGUAAUUCUUCUCGCUUUGGAGACCCGAGUGGUUACUAGCCAGUAACCCCCAAUUUUUCAGGUUGACCUCGGAUCAGGUAGGGAUANCC